GAUGAACGCUGGCGGCGUGCCUAAUACAUGCCAGUCGAGCGAACGGACGAGAAGCUUGCUUCUCUGAUGUUAGCGGCGGACGGGUGAGUAACACGUGGAUAACCUACCUAUAAGACUGGGAUAACUUCGGGAAACCGGAGCUAAUACCGGAUAAUAUUUUGAACCGCAUGGUUCAAAAGUGAAAGGCGGUCUUGCUGUCACUUAUAGAUGGAUCCGCGCUGCAUUAGCUAGUUGGUAAGGUAACGGCUUACCAAGGCAACGAUGCAUAGCCGACCUGAGAGGGUGAUCGGCCACACUGGAACUGAGACACGGUCCAGACUCCUACGGGAGGCAGCAGUAGGGAAUCUUCCGCAAUGGGCGAAAGCCUGACGGAGCAACGCCGCGUGAGUGAUGAAGGUCUUCGGAUCGUAAAACUCUGUUAUUAGGGAAGAACAUAUGUGUAAUUAACUGUGCACAUCUUGACGGUACCUAAUCAGAAAGCCACGGCUAACUACGUG
rnacentral:rRNA from 1 species